rnacentral:rRNA from 1 species
GAGUUUGAUCCUGGCUCAGGAUGAACGCUAGCUACAGGCUUAACACAUGCAAGUCGAGGGGCAGCAUGGGGCAGCAAUGUCCCGAUGGCGACCGGCGCACGGGUGAGUAACACGUAUCCAACCUGCCCAUGACCAGGGAAUAACCCGCGGAAACGCGGCCUAAUGCCCUAUGUGCUCCGAAGAGGACAUCCGAUUUGGAGUAAAGAUUGAUCGGUCAUGGAUGGGGAUGCGUCCGAUUAGGUAGUAGGCGGGGCAACGGCCCACCUAGCCUGCGAUCGGUAGGGGUUCUGAGAGGAAGGUCCCCCACAUUGGAACUGAGACACGGUCCAAACUCCUACGGGAGGCAGCAGUGAGGAAUAUUGGUCAAUGGGCGAGAGCCUGAACCAGCCAAGUAGCGUGCAGGAUGACGGCCCUAUGGGUUGUAAACUGCUUUUAUGCGGGGAUAAAGUGCUCCACGUGUGGGGCAUUGCAGGUACCGCACGAAUAAGGACCGGCUAAUUCCGUGCCAGCAGCCGCGGUAAUACGGAAGGUCCAGGCGUUAUCCGGAUUUAUUGGGUUUAAAGGGAGCGUAGGCCGAUGGCCAAGCGUGUUGUGAAAUGUGGACGCUCAACGUCCGACUUGCAGCGCGAACUGGCCGUCUUGAGUGCGCGCAACGUUGGCGGAAUUCGUCGUGUAGCGGUGAAAUGCUUAGAUAUGACGAAGAACUCCGAUUGCGAAGGCAGCUGACGGGAGCGCAACUGACGCUGAAGCUCGAAGGUGCGGGUAUCGAACAGGAUUAGAUACCCUGGUAGUCCGCACGGUAAACGAUGGAUGCCCGCUGUGUGCCCCUGGGGUACGUGGCCAAGCGAAAGCGUUAAGCAUCCCACCUGGGGAGUACGCCCGGCAACGGUGAAACUCAAAGGAAUUGACGGGGCCCGCACAAGCGGAG